AUGCACAUGAAAUGCAACAUUGCUCCAAACUUGCCAAUUUUGCAAUUUCUGUCUAAAAUACCCUCCCAACAAAUUAGAGGACUUGUUCACCACUUUACCUCACUCCAGACUCUCUAUAUAUCAUUCUUGUCAUUGUCAUUCCAUCAGGGAUAUGUUUUUGAGAGAGAAAGAAGAUCUGAGCUGGUUGCCUCAAGAAGAAAAGUUAUCUUUGAAUCUUCAUUUUUCUCUCGAGCAAGCUUCAUUCUAGAAUCACUCACUCAUUUCAAGCUCCCUGAAGAUUAUAAGGAAAGUUGUUAUGGGCCUCUUAAGCUAAGGAGUUUAAAGAAGUAG